GACAAUCUAUGGAAAUGUGGAACCUAGACAUUAUAUAUUAUUUUCAUCAAAUUUUGUGUUUAAUUUGGCAAGCAAGUUAAACAUAUGUAAAGUAAAUUUCAGAUAAAAGAAGAACAAGAUACGGAGCAUCGCAUUCGAUUUUCAGUAGGGAAAUUUACUUCCACUCGACUCGCAAUGGGAAAAGCCGGCUCAUACUGAAUAGCGCUGGUCCUUGAACUAGUAGAAAUCGAUUUGCGAAAGUUUCACAUCCCAUUUCGUUCUCGAGUUAAGCGAGGAACACACGGACAGACAGACAGCAAAACCAUAACAUAAAAGGGAAUUUUUUUCUUUCGAAAAAUUUCCCUAAAAAGGAGAAGUUUUUCAGGAAAUGGGAAAGUGAGAGAUCGGUUCUGCCUCACUUGCAUUUUUAAAGAGAAGAUCGUGAGAUGCGAGCGACUUCCGGGAUAGGACCGUGUCAAUGUUGAACGAAAAGUCAACGUUUCGCUCCCUCUCGUAAGGAACUUCAUCAGGACAAGAAAAGAAACAAAAUAAUCAUAAACAUAAAAUAUAUAAAACUCUUACCAAUGAGCUAACGGGAGAAACACGCACUACCCCACUAAACUGCACACGCUGUAACAUUGAAACGAGAAGGCUAAACCUGAAGAAAUUGGAGAAAAUGAUGAACAGCGAAUGAUAUAACAUUUUCAAAGCGGAGAGAGUCACCAUUACUCAUCACGGUGGAAAUUUCAGAGGGUGAUAUGGAUCAUGUGCAGAUGUAAAGAUCUACAACUGUCAUGAAGAAAGUACAUUGGAAGGUCGAAUGCGCACUCGUUUUUUGAAAUAUUUUAAGCGGGGCAAUUCAGAAAUUCCAAUGAUGUAGUAGGUACAUAAAAAUUAUAUUAAAUUUCGGGGGAAGCUAUCGGCUUAGACGAGGAAUUUAGUGAAUAAUUAAUCUUACUUAGUUAAUGUAUAUAUUUUAGAAAUGUAAAUCUGUGUAUUAUAACAUAAGUACAAAUACUUUCGUUUUUUCUAUAAUUUACGCCGCCGCUGGUAAGUAAUCUGAAGCUAUUAAAGUACACGAUCAUUGCCGAGCUGU